UACGUAGGGACCAAGCGUUGUUCGGAUUUACUGGGCGUAAAGGGCGCGUAGGCGGCUUGUCAAGUCACUUGUGAAAUCUCUGGGCUUAACCCAGAACGGCCAAGUGAAACUGACAUGCUAGAGUGCAGAAGGGGCAAUCGGAAUUCUGGUGUAGCGGUGAAAUGCGUAGAUAUCAAGAGGAACACCUGAGGUGAAGACGGGUUGCUGGGCUGACACGUGACGCUGAUGCGCGAAAGCCAGGAGAGCAAACGGG
rnacentral:rRNA from 1 species